ensembl:lncRNA
GGGUCAUCUGCACCAGGCUCCUCACCUGCAGUCCAUUAAAGGAGACUCCUCAGCUGGGGGAAGUUGAGGGGAGAUCCUACAGGCGCGGUCCCUGGAGCUGCAGCCCUCACACUCUGCCACCUCUGUGUCAGGUAGGUCAGGUAGGGAUGCUACGGAGGCAGCCCUGGUGUGUCACACUGGAGAAGACUGCUCCAGGUCAGUCCUUUCUGAAACAACUAUUUAUUUUCUGAGGAAAUACUAAAUGUCCAAAGUGCAUAUUUCUUUAAAUGCUGCCAGGCUCCUUGUGGGCUGAGCCAAGGGUUGGGAGAGUGAACUUCUCCUUCUUAAAGUGGGCAAAGAGGACCUGUCCUAGUGUUUCUCGCAAGCCUCUAUGAGGCCUUCUGUUCACCUGUAUGUCCUGUGGGUUGAGGCAAGAUUCCCACCANNNNNNNNNNNNNNNNNNNNNNNNNNNNNNNNNNNNNNNNNNNNNNNNNNNNNNNNNNNNNNNNNNNNNNNNNNNNNNNNNNNNNNNNNNNNNNNNNNNCCUGUAUGUCCUGUGGGUUGAGGCAAGAUUCCCACCAUAAUUACAAAUCUAGGAGAGUGGGUCAGUUCCUUUAGAAGUAAGAAACUUUCAUUUGGAAAUGGGCAAUUUGUUCCUGCGCCGGUGUGUUAUGAGCAUUCCUAUGCAUUUCUUCUACAGACUUGAUAAAAUGUCUUUCUUCUCAUCAUGGAUCAAAGCUAUUUUAAUCAUUGGCUUGGCAUUUCCUCUUUAUUGUGAAACUUCUUUUGCAUCUUCAAGAAAAAUGAGUGAAAUGCGUGAAGCUGUAAGUUUAUAUUGAUUAAUGUGGGAGUUGAAAAAGAGAGCAUGGAAGAUUUGAUUUUAGUCACUGGGGUCGUUGCUGACUCUGCCUCAGCCACACAUUCCUAUGGCUUUUGUUGCAAUCCUAUUUUGCUAUGGAUUCUACAACCAAUUAGUCUUCUAAAACAGGGCUUUAAAUUCCUAGAUGACCAGACUAUGCCUUCAGUAGUACACAAGACAGAAUGUAGAUUGUUGGAGAAUUUUUCCAACUCUAAGAACCCACCAAUGAAAAAGAUUCCUUUUUUCUUUCUUCAAUUAAACAUUGACAAUGGUAAACCUACCUUAAUUGUGUGUUUGAUAAUAGAAAACCUAAUACAGUUUGUAAUCAUGAAUAUUUCAGUCAAUAAAAUGUUAAGUAAUAUUAUCUUUAUUAAAAUACUCUUUCUGUUUUUGGUUGAUUAGUGGGUUAAAACACCUGAAUACUUUUGGUAACUAUAAUUAAAGAAAUAGUCUCAAAGGUGAAUAAUCCAUCACUUGGAAGUUUAUUAAAAGUGCAGGCAGUUGGGCUUCUCUUUAUUCUAAAGAGUCAAAACCUCUAGAAGAGGAAUCUGGGAACUUGAAUUCUAACAAAUAUUACACGUCAGUCUUCUGAUCACAAAUGCUAGCCAAGUGGUUCAGUAGCAGACCAGCCAGAUUUGCCUUUAUUGAUUUAGAAUAUUCAUUUGUGCUCCAUGUCUGAUGCUUCUCUAUCUCCCAACCAGCAAGAACUGGCUUUAUUUGAGUGGUCAGUUUUCAUUUAAAGCUUGGUCCAGACAGAACUGUAGACUGACUGCUAGAAAGCAAGUUUCAGGCUGCUGCAUAUGUCAUGUCAGACCUGCUCGGCUUUUCAGUAAACAUUUUUACCUCUAAAAGAUAAUCUAUAUGGGAAUUACUUAUUCAUUUACAUUCUUUAAUAGUAAUUCCUAAUGAAAGUAUCCAUUAAAAUAUAUAAAUUUAGAGCCACAUUAUUAAAAUCCAUUCAACCACUUUAAUGGCCUUUUUCAUUGUAAAAGACAUAUAUAUAUAUAAGAAACAUUAUUCAGUGAAUUGCUGUUAAAUUUAUGGAUGUAUUCUUGUCCAUUAUAAAAAAUUUUAAAAAUUAAUUGAAGAACACUUUCUUUACAAUAUCAUAAAACUUAAAACAAACUUUGUUUUUUAAGUAUAUAUUCACAAUGUUGUGCAACCAUCACUACUAUCUUCUUACAGAACAUUUACAUCAUCUCACCCAUUCCAAGAAAAAAAAAACAAAACAGAUAAACCCAGGUACUUCCCAAUACCCCACCUAUAAUUCUUGGCAACCACUAAACUGCUUCUGGUCUCUCUGCCUCUUCGGGACAUUUCACAUCAAUGGAAUCAUAUAACAUGUGAGAUUUUCUUAUAAAUGGAACAUAUAGGUCUGUAUCUACAGUAAUACUUUGUUUUAUUGCAUUUUGCUUUAUUGCACGUCAUGGACACUACACUUUUUACUGAUUGAAGGUAUGUGGCAACCUCAUAUAAAGCAAGUGUAUCAGUGCCAUUCUUCCAACAGCAUUUGCUCACUUUGAGUCCCUGUGUCACACUUUGGAAAUUCUUGCAAUGGUUCACACUUUUUCAUUAUUGUUAUAUUUGCUACAGUGAUUUGUGAUAAGUAAUCUUUGAUAUUUACUACCAUGGCUCAUUAAGAAUCAUUUGAUGGUCAACAUUUCUUUAGCAAUAAAGCACUUAAAAUCAAGGGACAUGUACAUGGUUGCUUUAGACAUAGUGCUAUUGCAUGCUUAAUAGACUGCAGUAUGCUGUAACAUAGAUUUCUGUGCACUGGGAAAGCAAAAAUUUCAUGUGACUCACUACUGAAAUAUUUAGUUAAUUGGUGGUCUGGAACCAAACCCACAAAAUCACCAAGGUAUGCCUAAAUAUCAGUAUAUAUAGAAGGUACCUUUUGUUUCUAGUUUCUUUUGCUUAGCAAAAUGUUUUCAAGGUUCAUCCAUGUUGUAGCAUGCUAUCAUACUUCUUUGCUUUUUAUGACAAAAUAAUAAUCCAUCUUAUAGAUAGAGCACAUUUUCUUUAUCCAUUUAUCAGUGGACUGAAUCUCCUUGAUGUGUAUAAUGACACUGUAGCUAUUAACAGUCCUGUACAGGAUUUUGUGUGACCAUAUAUUUUCAUGUCUGUGGAUAUAUACCUAGGAGUAGAAUUUCAUAUAUACUGAAAGACAAGUACAAUUAGCCAUUAAAAAGGCAUGCUUCUUUUUUGGUAAAAAUUUUCACAUUUUUAUUGAAAUUUUGUGAUUUCAUUUUUGUGAUCUACAUGGUGGAUUUUCUUUGUUUAAAUUCUCCAAUAUUAGUUCUUAAUGAAAUUGUUUAAUGGAGUGUACAUUUUAGGAGUCACAUUGUUACAAAAAAAAGCAUUCAGUUUGUUUCAUGACCUUUUUCUCUACAUAGGUUGUGUAGAAAAUAACUCUUCAAAGAAUAAAUCAGAAUCAAAGUGAGAUACUACCUCAUACCCAUUAGAAAGUCUACUAUCAAAAAAUCAGAAAAAAACCCAGAUGUUGGCAAAGAUGCAGAAAAAUUGGAAUUCUUGUGCACUGUUGGAAGAGUGUAAAAUGGUGCAGCUACUAUAGAAAAUAGUUUGGCAAUUCCUUUAAAGUUUAAAAAUAGAAUUACCGUAUAAUCCGGUAGUUCUUCUCCUGGACAUAUACUCAAAAGACUUGAAACCAAGAUCUUGAAGAGAUAUUUGUAUGCCAAUAUUCCUAACAGCACAGUAGCCAAGAAAUGGAAGUAACACCUAUGACCAUCAAUAAACAGAUAAGCAAAAUACAGUAUAUACAUACAAUAGGAUAUUAUUCAGCAUUGAAAGAAAAAAUUCUGACACAUAUUAUAACAAAAGACAAAUACUUGAUGAUUCCACUUAUAUGAAGUACUACUAGAGUAGUAGCAAAGCCAUAGACAUAUAAAGUAGAAUGGUGGUUUCCUGGGGCUCAGGGAGAGGGAGAUGGUAGUUGGAUAGUUGUUUAAAGUGUAGAGAAUUUUAGUUCUGUGAGAUGAAAAGAGUUUUAAAGAUUGUUCAACAGUGCCAAUAUAUUUAAUGCUAAUAAACUGUAUGCUUAGAAAUGGUUAAGACAAUAAAAUUUAUAUGUAUUUUACCACAAUUAAAAUUCUGAAAAUUAUUCCGUGAACCCUGAUAUAUUCAUAUAUGUAUUCUUUUUAUUUUUAUUAAAAAUAUUUUAUAAAAACCUAUUAUGUAUCAAGCCCUAAGUAAGAUGAUAGGGAAAAGCUGUUGAGCAAAAAUAUAUAUAAUACUAUUUUUUCGG